rnacentral:rRNA from 1 species
AUUGACAGCUGGCGGCAGGCCUAACACAUGCAAGUCGCACGAGUGGCGGUCCGGUGAGUAAUGUCUGGGAAACUGCCCGAUGGAGGGGGAUAACUACUGGAAACAGUAGCUAAUACCGCAUACCAUCGGAUGUUCCCAGAUGGGAUUAGGUAGUAGGUGGGGUAACGGCUCACCUAGGCGACGAGCCCUAGCUGGUCUGAGAGGAUGACCAGCCACACUGGAACUGAGCCACGGUCCAGACUCCUACGGGAGGCAGUAGUGGGGAAUAUUGCACAAUGGGCGCAAGCCUGAUGCAGCCAUGCCGCGUGUAUGAAGAAGGCCUUCGGGUUGUAAAGUACUUUCAGCGAGGAGGCGUUACUCGCAGAAGAAGCACCGGCUAACACCGUGCCAGCAGCCGCGGUAAUAC